CGUGCACGCCGGAAGGGCGUCCUCUUACGUGAAAUCCACCUCACCCCUUUUGUGCACCACCGCGUGGGCUUCCUCCUCGAGGGGGCUCGCGUUUUUCACACAAACGCCCUUUGUAAACGUCUUGUAGAAUGUCCUCAUUUUGUUUGCGUUGACGCGCGAUCAAUACAACUUUCAACAACGGAUCUCUUGGCUCUCGCAUCGAUGAAGAACGCAGCGAAAUGCGAUACGUAAUGUGAAUUGCAGAAUUCAGUGAAUCAUCGAAUCUUUGAACGCACCUUGCGCCCCUUGGUAUUCCGAGGGGCACACCCGUUUGAGUGUCGUGAAAAUCUCAACCUCCUUGGUUUCUUUUGAACGCCAAAGGAGGCUUGGACUUUGGAGGGCUUUGCUGGACUUGUAAAAGGGCCAGCUCCUCUCAAAUGAAUUAGCGAGGUCCCCUUUGCCGAUCCUCGACGUGUGAUAAGUUGCUUCCACGUCUCGAUCUUUGGCUCUGUC
rnacentral:misc_RNA from 1 species